AGCUCCAAUAGCGUAUAUUAAAGUUGUUGCAGUUAAAAAGCUCGUAGUUGGAUUCCUGGUUAAAGCGGCCGGUCUGGUCCGAAUGGAUUAGUACUUCGAGCUGUCUUUGACCUUCCUUUGGGAGAGCUUGUGUUGUCUUUAAUUAGACGGGCAAGGGACCCCAAUCGUUUACUGUGAAAAAAUUAGAGUGUUUAAAGCAGGCAUUUGCUGUGAAUACAUUAGCAUGGAAUAAUAAGAUAGGACUUUGGUGCUAUUUUGUUGGUUUGCACACCAAGGUAAUGAUUAACAGGGACAGUUGGGGGUAUUCGUAUUUAAUUGUCAGAGGUGAAAUUCUUGGAUUUAUGAAAGACGAACUACUGCGAAAGCAUUUACCAAGGAUGUUUUCAUUAAUCAAGAACGA
rnacentral:rRNA from 1 species